rnacentral:lncRNA from 1 species
AAUGACCUGUGCAUGACACUUUGUUCAGGCUGCUAAUAAAAGGUGUCAAUAGAUAUUUGUUUCUACAUAUCUGCCUCUUAUAUCACAUUAGCUAAGAAAAAAUGAAAUUUGUCCUGGAUGUAUUUGUAUUUCUGUAUUGGUUAGAAUACUCUACAGAGAUGGAACAGAUAGAAUAUAUCUACAGAUCUAUAUAGAUAUCGGUAAAUAUCUGUAGAUAUAUUUGUACAAGGUUGGUUCCAGGACUCCUGUGGAUACCAAAAUCUGUGAAUGCUCAAGUUCCUUAUACAAAAUAGUGUAGUGUUUGCUUGUAAUUUAUAUACAUCUUCAUAUGUACUUUAGAUCAUCUUUAGAUUGAUUAUAAUGCCUAAUACAAUGUAAGUAGCAAGGUAAAAAGUUGUUAUACUUUUUUGUUUGGUGACAGGAAAUAAGUUUGUACAUGUUCAGUAUAGACACAAUUUCUUCUGAAUAUUUUCCAUCCAAGGUUGGUUGAAUCUGUGAAUAUGAAACCCUUAGAUAUAUAAGGCCAAUGAUAGACAGAUGGAUAGAUAGGGAAAAAAGAAUGGUAUAGAUAGAUGAGAUGGGAUUUAUUAGGGGAAUUGAUUCAAGUGAUCAUGGAGGCUGAGAAAUAUCGUAAGCCAUAUGCCAGCAGGAGGAACCGGCAAGCUGUUAGCAUGGCUGUCUGAAGGUCUGAGAAGCCAGUCAUGCAACUCCCAGUUGGAGACUAAAGACCUGAGAACCUAGGGGUUCCCAUGAGCCAAAGGCCAAACAAUCUGGAGUUCGGAUGCAGGAGAAGUAUGUCCCAGCUCCCAAGAGAGGGGAGGAGGAGGAAAGAGAUUGAUUGAUUUUAGCUUUCCUCUACAUUUUCCUGUACCUGGGCUCCCAGUUGGUAGGAUGAUGCCCAUUUAGUCCCCGGACUCACAUGUCAAACUCCUCUGAAAACAUCUUCACAGACACACCCAGAAAUAAUAACCAGCUUUCUAGGCAUCCUUUAAUCCAAUCACAUCAGCAGCUAAAAUUAACCUUCAGAACCUCCAAGGAGUAACACAGUGCUGGUGUAGGACUAAGUGUCUAAACAAUCAAGAGAAAUCACAGCCUGGGUUGUAGUGCAGAGUCACUCCAGCCUCAGUUUGAAUUACAGCUCAAGUCACUUACUACCUGUUAAUUUUGGACAAGUUGUUGAAUGUUCUGAGUUCUCAUUUCCUCUUUUGUAAAGCAGAAAUGAUAACAAUAGUAGAAAUUAACCCUUUGCGUUGCCUUAAAACUUUGAGUUCACACAUUUACAGGUUAGAGCAGUACCUGACAUCCAGUAAACACACAAUAAAUCUUAGCCCUUAAUAUUAUAAUCAUCUUAGAAGAGUAUUUUUUGAAUGGCAGUGAAAAUUGUGACCAAAAGAAUCCCCAGUUGCUGGUCAGUAGCAUUGAAGGUGCAUGUCGAGUUGGGAAGUAUGAAUGAUUCUGGUUCAAGUAGGCACACAUAUAUCUGUGCCUGGGAGUCGGGGAGCCCUUUACUCAAUUGCUUUUCUGCGUAUUUAUGAGUGAACACUAAGGGACCCCGUCUGUGACAUCUGGCUCAGAGCCCAGUGUUCUGGGGUUAUUUCAUGUUAACCCAAUUGUAGAAGGAUAGGAGCCCCAGUCACCAAAUAAAGUGGUGGAGCAAUGAGAGCCUGUGCUUGGGGCAGGAACUGGGUUUGGAUGGUCAGGCAUCAGGAAGAUUCUGAAGUGGGGUUGUAGAGUUGGAUUUGGCCUAGGGAAAUGAAAGGGAGGCUCCCAGCUGUGGGAAAUGAUCUUCCCAGCCUGUGCUUCAAUUAGGGGCAAAUAUUAGAAGCAGAAACUGGUUCUGGGUAAGGAGGGUGAUAGGACUGAGGACCUAGGUAAGGGAGAUCCUGCUAUGAAGGUGGCAAGCUGAUCUGCCAUGAAUUUCUCUCCACGUGUCUGAUGAGUAACAGGAUGCUUUUGCCUUGGCCUGGGAGAUGAAUGUGUUUCCUGCUCUCCCCCCUGCUGAUACUGCUGGGGCUGCUCAUGUAGGGAGCCCAUAUUCAGGGCAGCUUGAAAGCACUGGAGAAAGCUAGUCUAGAAUCUAGUUGUAAAAUCACAGUGGGCACAUUUCUUUGAGAGCAUGUAAUAUUUGGGAUCCUGGGAAGACCCCUGUGUAUCUUGUGUAACUCUCCUCCUUAAGGGUAUACCAUACAUGUGGUGGGUAUAUGCUGUGCACCAGAACCUCACUGUGCAUCUUGGUUUAUCUUCCAUUGAUGCUGUACAUAUUACUACAAAUGCAGAGGCUUAAAACAAUAUGCACUUAUUAUCUCACAGUUCCAAAGGUCAGAAUCCAGUGGGCUCAACUGGUUUCUCUGUUGUCUCAGAGGCUGAAGUCAAGGUAUUGGCUGGGCUUCUCUCCCUUCUAGAGACCCCAAGGGAGACUCCACUUCCAGUUCAUCCAGGUGGUUGGCAGAACUCAGUGUUUGGGGGGCUGAGAUCUCCGUUUCCUUGCUGGCUACUGUCUUGGGGUAGGGGUGGAGGUUUCUCCCUUAGCAUCUAGAGGCCUUUUGGUCAUUGUGUGUAGUCUCAGAACAUCUCAAACUUGCAGUGGCAGAAUAAAUCCUGAGGAUGUCAGGUCGUCUCUGCCUCCCCUCUUCUGUCAUGUCUCUAACCUCUGGGACCAACUCCUCUGCCUUCUUCUCCUCUUAAGUGCUCAAGUGAUUGGAUGGGGCCCACUUGGUCAUCCGGGAUAAUCUCCCUCUUGUAAGGUCUGUGAUCAUAAUUACAUACACACAGUCUCUUUUGCCAUGUACAAACAUCCUCUCAUGUUCCUGAGGAUUAGGUCUUGGAAAUCUUCGGGGGACAUUAUUGUGCCUACCACAGUUAGUUGCUUUUCAUAUUUAUCCCCUGUAAUCCUCACAACAGCCUGAUGAGGAAAGUACUUUUAUAUCCAUAUUAUAUGAGAACAAACUGAGAUUCAGGGAGGUUUAUAUCACAAGAAAAAAAAAUGGUGGAGCUGGGGUUUGAACUUUGCUCCAGAGCACAUGCUUCUCCUCUUCAAGAGACAAGGAAGAGGGCAAGCAAGCAAUCCUGUGAUCUGCUGCUCUGGCUGCAUUCCCACUGUUGUGCUAGUGCUGCUUCUCAGUUGAGACAGGACACCACUGUCCCCCACAGAUCUGAUCUUCUCCUACGUGCAUGAUUUGUGUGUUGGCUGGGUCCAGCAGACAUCAGAUCGCACGCUCCAGUGAAGUUACUGAGGAGAGACUGAAAAAGGGACUACUGACAGGGUUGUGGGUGGGGUCAUGGGAAACCAACAAGGAAUAACAAAGCACCUUAGCUGCAACAGCUGUUGCACCUUCAAUGUGGAGUGGCACAGGAAAGACAUUUGCCAAAAGCCUGAGGAACAGAAGAAACUGCAGGAGGAGCUGCCUAGCAGGAGCCACGGCCUCCAGAGCAGGACACAGUCACUACUGGCUUGUCAGGAGGAAGGUGGCCAGGUAGGAACAUGGACUUCACUCUCCACCCCUCCCUCAACUCCUAUCACUGGCUAAUUUCAACCAGAAGCCACAGGGAAAAGGGAUAUGUUUAUGCAGUUCUUGAAGAUUAGCUUUGUAGGUCCAGAGCAGAG